GACGAACGCUGGCGGCGUGCUUAACACAUGCAAGUCGAACGGAAAGGCCCUGCUUGCAGGGUGCUCGAGUGGCGAACGGGUGAGUAACACGUGGGUGAUCUGCCCCUUACUUUGGGAUAAGCCUGGGAAACUGGGUCUAAUACUGGAUAGGACCAUGCUGUAGGUGGUGUGGUGGAAAGAUUAGUUUCGGUAAGGGAUGAGCUCGCGGCCUAUCAGCUUGUUGGUGGGGUAAUGGCCUACCAAGGCGUCGACGGGUAGCCGGCCUGAGAGGGUGGACGGCCACAUUGGGACUGAGAUACGGCCCAGACUCCUACGGGAGGCAGCAGUGGGGAAUAUUACACAAUGGGCGCAAGCCUGAUGCAGCGACGCCGCGUGGGGGAUGACGGCCUUCGGGUUGUAAACUCCUUUCAGCCAUGACGAAGCCCUUGUGGUGACGGUAGUGGUAGAAGAAGCACCGGCUAACUACGUG
rnacentral:rRNA from 1 species